rnacentral:rRNA from 1 species
CCUACGGGAGGCAGCAGUGGGGAAUAUUGCGCAAUGGGCGAAAGCCUGACGCAGCGACGCCGCGUGAGGGAUGAAGGUCUUCGGAUCGUAAACCUCUGUCAGCAGGGAAGAACGGUCACUGUGCUAAUCAGCAGUGAAUUGACGGUACCUGCAAAGGAAGCUCCGGCUAACUACGUGCCAGCAGCCGCGGUAAUACGUAGGGAGCGAGCGUUAUCCGGAAUUAUUGGGCGGAAAGGGUGCGUAGAUGGUUGAUAUAAGUCUUUUGUAAAAAUGCUAGGCUCAACCUAGUAGGGCAAAAGAUACUGAUGAACUAGAGUACGGCAGAGGCAAGUAGAACUACAUGUGUAGCGGUAAAAUGCGUAAAUAUAUGUAAGAACACCGGUGGCGAAGGCGGCUUGCUGGGCCUGUACUGACAUUGAGGCACGAAAGCGUGGGGAGCAAACAGGAUUAGAUACCCGGGUAGUC